rnacentral:rRNA from 1 species
GGGUGCUAACGUCCGUCGUGAAGAGGGAAACAACCCAGACCGCCAGCUAAGGUCCCAAAGUCAUGGUUAAGUGGGAAACGAUGUGGGAAGGCCCAGACAGCCAGGAUGUUGGCUUAGAAGCAGCCAUCAUUUAAAGAAAGCGUAAUAGCUCACUGGUCGAGUCGGCCUGCGCGGAAGAUGUAACGGGGCUAAACCAUGCACCGAAGCUGCGGCAGCGACGCUUAUGCGUUGUUGGGUAGGGGAGCGUUCUGUAAGCCUGUGAAGGUGUGCUGUGAGGUAUGCUGGAGGUAUCAGAAGUGCGAAUGCUGACAUAAGUAACGAUAAAGCGGGUGAAAAGCCCGCUCGCCGGAAGACCAAGGGUUCCUGUCCAACGUUAAUCGGGGCAGGGUGAGUCGACCCCUAAGGCGAGGCCGAAAGGCGUAGUCGAUGGGAAACAGGUUAAUAUUCCUGUACUUGGUGUUACUGCGAAGGGGGGACGGAGAAGGCUAUGUUGGCCGGGCGACGGUUGUCCCGGUUUAAGCGUGUAGGCUGGUUUUCCAGGCAAAUCCGGAAAAUCAAGGCCGAGGCGUGAUGACGAGGCACUACGGUGCUGAAGCAACAAAUGCCCUGCUUCCAGGAAAAGCCUCUAAGCAUCAGGUAACAUCAAAUCGUACCCCAAACCGACACAGGUGGUCAGGUAGAGAAUACCAAGGCGCUUGAGAGAACUCGGGUGAAGGAACUAGGCAAAAUGGUGCCGUAACUUCGGGAGAAGGCACGCUGAUACGUAGGUGAAGCGACUUGCUCGUGGAGCUGAAAUCAGUCGAAGAUACCAGCUGGCUGCAACUGUUUAUUAAAAACACAGCACUGUGCAAACACGAAAGUGGACGUAUACGGUGUGACGCCUGCCCGGUGCCGGAAGGUUAAUUGAUGGGGUUAGCGCAAGCGAAGCUCUUGAUCGAAGCCCCGGUAAACGGCGGCCGUAACUAUAACGGUCCUAAGGUAGCGAAAUUCCUUGUCGGGUAAGUUCCGACCUGCACGAAUGGCGUAAUGAUGGCCAGGCUGUCUCCACCCGAGACUCAGUGAAAUUGAACUCGCUGUGAAGAUGCAGUGUACCCGCGGCAAGACGGAAAGACCCCGUGAACCUUUACUAUAGCUUGACACUGAACAUUGAGCCUUGAUGUGUAGGAUAGGUGGGAGGCUUUGAAGUGUGGACGCCAGUCUGCAUGGAGCCGACCUUGAAAUACCACCCUUUAAUGUUUGAUGUUCUAACGUGGACCCGUGAUCCGGGUUGCGGACAGUGUCUGGUGGGUAGUUUGACUGGGGCGGUCUCCUCCUAAAGAGUAACGGAGGAGCACGAAGGUUGGCUAAUCCUGGUCGGACAUCAGGAGGUUAGUGCAAUGGCAUAAGCCAGCUUGACUGCGAGCGUGACGGCGCGAGCAGGUGCGAAAGCAGGUCAUAGUGAUCCGGUGGUUCUGAAUGGAAGGGCCAUCGCUCAACGGAUAAAAGGUACUCCGGGGAUAACAGGCUGAUACCGCCCAAGAGUUCAUAUCGACGGCGGUGUUUGGCACCUCGAUGUCGGCUCAUCACAUCCUGGGGCUGAAGUAGGUCCCAAGGGUAUGGCUGUUCGCCAUUUAAAGUGGUACGCGAGCUGGGUUUAGAACGUCGUGAGACAGUUCGGUCCCUAUCUGCCGUGGGCGCUGGAGAACUGAGGGGGGCUGCUCCUAGUACGAGAGGACCGGAGUGGACGCAUCACUGGUGUUCGGGUUGUCAUGCCAAUGGCACUGCCCGGUAGCUAAAUGCGGAAGAGAUAAGUGCUGAAAGCAUCUAAGCACGAAACUUGCCCCGAGAUGAGUUCUCCCUGACCCUUUAAGGGUCCUGAAGGAACGUUGAAGACGACGACGUUGAUAGGCCGGGUGUGUAAGCGCAGCGAUGCGUUGAGCUAACCGGUACUAAUGAACCGUGAGGCUUAACCUUACAACGCCGAAG